GACGAACGCUGGCGGCGUGCCUAAUACAUGCAAGUAGAACGCUGAAGAGAGGAGCUUGCUCUUCUUGGAUGAGUUGCGAACGGGUGAGUAACGCGUAGGUAACCUGCCUGGUAGCGGGGGAUAACUGUUGGAAACGAUAGCUAAUACCGCAUAAAAUUGAUUAUUGCAUGAUAAUUAAUUGAAAGAUGCAAUUGCAUCACUACCAGAUGGACCUGCGUUGUAUUAGCUAGUUGGUGAGGUAACGGCUCACCAAGGCGACGAUACAUAGCCGACCUGAGAGGGUGAUCGGCCACACUGGGACUGAGACACGGCCCAGACUCCUACGGGAGGCAGCAGUAGGGAAUCUUCGGCAAUGGGGGGAACCCUGACCGAGCAAACGCCGC
rnacentral:rRNA from 1 species